rnacentral:rRNA from 1 species
GAUGAACGCUGGCGGCGUGCCUAAUACAUGCAAGUAGAACGCUGAAGGAAGGAGCUUGCUCUUUCCGGAUGAGUUGCGAACGGGUGAGUAACGCGUAGGUAACCUGCCUGGUAGCGGGGGAUAACUAUUGGAAACGAUAGCUAAUACCGCAUAACAGUAGAUGUUGCAUGAUAUCUACUUAAAAGGUGCAAUUGCACCACUACCAGAUGGACCUGCGUUGUAUUAGCUAGUUGGUGAGGUAACGGCUCACCAAGGCGACGAUACAUAGCCGGCCUGAGAGGGUGAUCGGCCACACUGGGACUGAGACACGGCCCAGAAUCCUACGGGAGGCAGCAGUAGGGAAUCUUCGGCAAUGGACGGAAGUCUGAACGAGCAACGCCGCGUGAGUGAAGAAGGUUGUCGGAUCGUAAAGCUCUGUUGUAAGAGAAGAAAGAGUGUGAGAGUGGAAAGUUCACACUGUGACGGUAUCUUACCAGAAAGGGACGGCUAACUACGUG